rnacentral:rRNA from 1 species
UAGGGAAUCUUCCGCAAUGGACGCAAGUCUGACGGAGCAACGCCGCGUGAGUGAAGAAGGAUUUCGGUUCGUAAAACUCUGUUGUUAGAGAAGAACAGCGCAUAGAGUAACUGUUAUGCGUGUGACGGUAUCUAACCAGAAAGCCACGGCUAACUACGUGCCAGCAGCCGCGGUAAUACGUAGGUGGCAAGCGUUGUCCGGAUUUAUUGGGCGUAAAGCGAGCGCAGGCGGUCAAUUAAGUCUGAUGUGAAAGCCCCCGGCUCAACCGGGGAGGGUCAUUGGAAACUGGUUGACUUGAGUGCAGAAGAUGAGAGUGGAAUUCCAUGUGUAGCGGUGAAAUGCGUAGAUAUAUGGAGGAACUCCAGUGGCGAAGGCGACUCUCUGGUCUGUAACUGACGCUGAGGCUCGAAAGCGUGGGUAGCAAACAGG